AGAUUGAACGCUGGCGGCAUGCCUAACACAUGCAAGUCGAACGGGAGUAGCAAUACUCUAGUGGCGGACGGGUGAGGAAUACGUAGGAAUUUGCCCUUAAGUGGGGGAUAACCCGGGGAAACCCGGAUUAAUACCGCAUGACCUCGAAAGAGCAAAGUGGGGGAUCGCAAGACCUCACGCUUUUGGAGAAGCCUACGUCGGAUUAGCUAGUUGGUGAGGUAAUGGCUCACCAAGGCGACGAUCCGUAACUGGUCUGAGAGGAUGAUCAGUCACACCGGAACUGAGACACGGUCCGACUCCGUACGGGAGGCAGCGAGUGGGGAAUAGUUGGACAAGUGGGCGACAAGCCGUGACUUCCAGACAAUCGCCGUCGUGU
rnacentral:rRNA from 1 species